CCGAGCUGGAGGGUCGCCCCGAGAGCAGCUCUCCGACCUCCGAUUGGACUCUUGAGGGAACCGAGACCCAGUCGGGGCGACAACUUGCCCGAGGUCGCUAUGGCAGAGUCAGGAUUGGAUAACCGUACGGUCUCCGGAUCCAAGGCUGGCUCCAGAUAGUAUGCCCGGAUGGGGUCUCACUAUGAGAAGGAAACACUUAUAAUGUUAAAUGAACAAAGCAGGAUUUGCAAACAAAAGAGAU
rnacentral:lncRNA from 10 species